CUACCAUGGCUUUCACGGGUAACGGAGGAUUAGGGUUCGAUUCCGGAGAGGGAGCCUGAGAAACGGCUACCACUUCCACGGAAGGCAGCAGGCGCGUAAAUUACCCAAUCCUGACUCAGGGAGGUAGUGACAAGAAAUAAUGGGUCGGGGUUUCACCCCGGGACUGCAAUGAGAUGAAUCUAGACCCCUUAUCGAGGACCAAUUGGAGGGCAAGUCUGGUGCCAGCAGCCGCGGUAAUUCCAGCUCCAAUAGCGUAUAUUAAAGUUGUUGCAGUUAAAAAGCUCGUAGUUGGAUUUCUGGUCGGGGGUUAGGGCGCACUGUCGUGAUGCCCGCGUCUUCGGCCAUCCUUCUGUUAACCCUUCAGGGCGUUCGUUCGUCGGUUGGGGGCUCAGAUAUUUUACCUUGAGAAAAUUAGAGUGUUUCAGGCAGGCUUGUGCCCGGAUACAUUAGCAUGGAAUAAUGGAAUAGGACUUUAGCCUCUUCUGUUGGUCUGAGGGGUUGGAGUAAUGAUUAAUAGGGAUAGUUGGGGGCAUUAGUACUUAACUGUCAGAGGUGAAAUUCUCGGAUUUGUUAAAGACUAACUUAUGCGAAAGCAUUUGCCAAGGAUGUUUUCAUUAAUCAA
rnacentral:rRNA from 1 species